GCCAGAAUGGUAUAGUGGUUUGAGGGUUGGACUACAACUCGGAAGACUAGGGUUCAAAUCCCCACUUGGCCA